rnacentral:lncRNA from 10 species
CGGGCCUCUGUGGCUCCAUGGCUACUCUCAGAUCCUCCCUCCUUUUCUUUUUUUUUUUUCCUUCCUUCCUCCCUUGGUUCCUUCCAUUCUUUCUUUCUGUCCUUUAUGGGAGCGCUCCCCAGGAAGAUGCUCAACCAGGAGCUCAUCUUGUCUUCCAGGCCUGGGUGCCCUCCAUAUGACCUGGGAAGUGGGCAGUGGCUGACUUGGAACAGCCACCGUGGGAGAUAAUAAAUGUCUCUGAAUCUUCUUGCUCAGUCACCCCAUUGGAAACAUUGGGAGAUCAAGGCUCAGAAGGAUGCCCUGUUAUUCUGGAAGUUAAUGGAAGGGUCAGGACUGGAAGCCAGCCCCCUGACCUGAAACGUGGGACCAUUCCCAUCAGCACUCACAAGCAGCCACUGCUGAGGUCUAGUCCUUACUACCUAUGGGAGGUGCCCUGGACUCUGGCCUGUCCUCCACAGGACCACCAAAACGUGAUCUGAUGGAGCCUCACCCCGCAGGUGAACCCAUCUGGAUUCGUCCUUGCUUGGUGGGCCCUAAAUCCAAUAACAAGUAUCCUUGUAAGAUGAGGCAGAGGGAGAUUUGACAGAGAUAGGGAGGAGGCAACAUGACUUCAGAGGCAAGGGCUGGAGUGACGUGGCCACAAGUCAAGGACUACCAGCCACCACUGGAAGACUGGAGGAAGCUGGAAGAGUCAAGGAAGAAUUCUGCCCCUGAGCCUCCAAAGAAGCACUGCCUUGCUGACACCUCGAUUUCAGACCUCUGGCCUCCAAAACCACGAGAUAAUAAAUAGCCAUUGUUU